ACGGAAGGCAGCAGCUAGGAAUAUUCCGCAAUGGACGAAAGCCUGACGGAGCGACGCCGCGUGGAUGAAGAAGGUCGGAAGAUUGUAAAAUCCUUUUAUAACUGAGGAAUAAGCAGCGUGAGAGAAACGCAUUGCGGUGACUGUAGGUUAUGAAUAAGCAACGGCUAAUUACGUGCCAGCAGCCGCGGUAACACGUAAGUUGCGAGCGUUGUUCGGAAUUAUUGGGCGUAAAGGGCAUGUAGGCGGUUUUGCAAGCUUGAUGUGAAAGGCAGGAGCUUAACUCCUGGACUGCGUUGAGAACUGCAUGACUAGAGUCACUGAGGGGCAAUCAGAAUUCCAGGUGUAGGGGUGAAAUCUGUAGAUAUCUGGAAGAAUACCGAUGGCGAAGGCAGGUUACCAGCAGAUGACUGACGCUGAGGUGCGAAGGUGCGGGGAGCAAACAGGAUUAGAUACCCUGGUA
rnacentral:rRNA from 1 species